rnacentral:rRNA from 1 species
GUGCCAGCCGCUGCGGUAAUACGGAGGGUGCAAGCGUUAAUCGGAAUUACUGGGCGUAAAGCGCACGCAGGCGGUUGAUUAAGUUAGAUGUGAAAUCCCCGGGCUUAACCUGGGAACUGCAUUUAAAACUGGUCAGCUAGAGUCUUGUAGAGGGGGGUAGAAUUCCAGGUGUAGCGGUGAAAUGCGUAGAGAUCUGGAGGAAUACCGGUGGCGAAGGCGGCCCCCUGGACAAAGACUGACGCUCAGGUGCGAAAGCGUGGGGAGCAAACAGGAUUAGAUACCCUGGUAGUCCACGCCGUAAACGAUGUCGACUUGGAGGUUGUGCCCUUGAGGCGUGGCUUCCGGAGCUAACGCGUUAAGUCGACCGCCUGGGGAGUACGGCCGACAAGGUUAAACUCAAAUGAAUUGACGGGGCCCGCACAAGCGGUGGAGCAUGUGGUUUAAUUCGAUGCAACGCGAA